UGUAAAACGAAAAACACAUCCAUAAGCAAUUGGAAGAUCUGUAAGAGUUUAAGUUAAUUGUGUCCACUACUUGUUUCCAAAUAUUUCCAAUUUCAAAAGCGAAAAACCAUGGACAAAAAUCAGAAAUUGAGCUACGAUAUUGGCGUAGCUAAGGGCCAAGCCCAGGAAAAAGGUAAUCAAUUGUUGGAGAAGGCUGGGACUGCUGUGCAGUCUGCCAAGGAAACAGCGCAAGAGGUGGGGCAGCAAGUGAAGACCAAAACACUAGAAGCAGCAGAUGCCGUUAAAAAUGCCACUGGCAUGAACAAAUAAACCACGUUAAUUUCCACCAUAUUAUAGUUUAUGAAGAUCUUAAUUUAUUCUACUUCAAUUGGGCUACCAAUUUAUGUUGCUUAAGUUUAAAUUAUUGGCAGUGGGAUUUUACUGGGUAUGUUGUAAGUUAAAUUUAAAUUACUGGUGAGAACUUCUGCGUUUCUGAAUUAUAUUUUAGAAGCAGCGUCUGUAAUAAUAUUGUAAUAAUGUUUCGUUCUUAAUUAUAAUUGCAUAUUUCGUAGCA